rnacentral:rRNA from 1 species
AGAGUUUGAUCCUGGCUCAGGACGAACGCUGGCGGCGUGCUUAGCACAUGCAAGUCGAACGGAAAGGCCCUUCGGGGUACUCGAGUGGCGAACGGGUGAGUAACACGUGGGUGAUCUGCCCUGCACUUUGGGAUAAGCCUGGGAAACUGGGUCUAAUACCGAAUAUGACCAUGCGCCUCCUGGUGUGUGGUGGAAAGCUUUCGCGGUGUGGGAUGGGCCCGCGGCCUAUCAGCUUGUUGGUGGGGUAAUGGCCUACCAAGGCGACGACGGGUAGCCGGCCUGAGAGGGUGACCGGCCACACUGGGACUGAGAUACGGCCCAGACUCCUACGGGAGGCAGCAGUGGGGAAUAUUGCACAAUGGGCGCAAGCCUGAUGCAGCGACGCCGCGUGAGGGAUGACGGCCUUCGGGUUGUAAACCUCUUUCAGCACAGACGAAGCGCAAGUGACGGUAUGUGCAGAAGAAGGACCGGCCAACUACGUGCCAGCAGCCGCGGUAAUACGUAGGGUCCGAGCGUUGUCCGGAAUUACUGGGCGUAAAGAGCUCGUAGGUGGUUUGUCGCGUUGUUCGUGAAAACUCACAGCUUAACUGUGGGCGUGCGGGCGAUACGGGCAGACUUGAGUACUGCAGGGGAGACUGGAAUUCCUGGUGUAGCGGUGGAAUGCGCAGAUAUCAGGAGGAACACCGGUGGCGAAGGCGGGUCUCUGGGCAGUAACUGACGCUGAGGAGCGAAAGCGUGGGGAGCGAACAGGAUUAGAUACCCUGGUAGUCC